rnacentral:rRNA from 1 species
AUUAAAACAAACUAGGUAGUAUCAAAAUUUUAUAAAAACCUAUAUAAAAUGGCGGCAUUUUCCCUAAUUAGAGGAACAUGUUUAUUAAUCGACAACACACGUUAAAUCCUACUUAUGUUAAAAUUUUAUAUACCUCCGUAUAUAGAAUUAUUUUUAAAACUUUUUCAAAAUAAAAAUCUAAAAAAAUAGGUAAAGGUGUAAAGUAUACUUAAGAAUUAAUGUGUUACACUAAAAAUAAUUUAAGGAAUAAUUUUCAAAAUCAUUAAAAAAUAGGAUUUAAAAGUAAUACUUAAAUAAUAUUUAUCUAUGAAUUAGGAUAAAAAUGUGU